ACAGGGUUAGGUUUUAUUCUAUUUUACAGAAGAGGUCAAGGAAGAGGGAAAAAAACUAAACCAAAGCUCUAAUGAUACUGGCACAGGGACCCAUCUUUCCUGAUAGUUACUUCUGUGUCUCCCUAGCAGGCCCAUUAUGAUGCAGUGUUCUAUGGCCAAUAAGGUGCAAGCAGAUUGGAGUCAGAGUACCUCAGAAAUGCUAAGGAAGUGGAGGCACCAGGUAUCUUUAAGGAGAGGAGUGGGUGGUAAGUAUAAAAAAACCACAGAAUUGUUUCAAACUUUAUUAAGGAGGUAUUAGACCCCCAGAUCUGUUCUAUGACCCACUCAACCAGAAAACUGUUUUCCUUUAUUCCUCCCAGAAGAACAUGGGAGGUUUACCUUCUGGAGAGAUUUAUUUGGGGGAAGUUGUGGGCUUGGGUGUUCCAGGCAUAGAGAAAGCCAGGGGUGAAACAUGACCCAAAAGAAUUAGGUGAAAUUUAGAACCCUGAAUGCCUACUGUGUAGCCUGGCUACACAGCCCAGGCUACACAGUACUUUCGUCUGUGAGAACUCACAGGUAUACUAGAGCUCCAGGCAGGAAUAUACGUUUUGCCGAUGCAAUCUUAUCAGCCUAUGAACCAUGUCUGAUCUAGAAAGCCUUGAGGUCAGCCACAGCCUGUUCUGGUUGUAUGUCACUCAAACUAAAUUAAGCUGAAGGUGAUCCAGACGUGUUUUCAGGCCUUGAGAAAUCUGACUCACAGCACUACAACCAGCAUAAUCAACAGUCUACACUUCUGCAAUGGCCCCUAUAAUCCCUAAACCUAAACCUUGUGAGGGGGCCAAGUGUUGUACAGUGUCAUGGAUACACCUCUGGGGAAACAAUAGGUCCACAUUACAAGAGUACUGGUUUAAUAAAUUCUGACCUUCUUUUCUAAUUUUUCUCAGACCCAUGCAAGAACUCAGGAAAAAGUUAGCUGGCUGUACCUGCUAAUUAUCAUGACUAUAAUUGAUGAAGACACUGGAGCUAGAGGGAGAGGACAUCCACGCAAUUCAUGGGCCUCCAAGGCUGUCAACAAUCCAGAUGAGGAACAUGUGGCCUUUGUUGUGUUGAUUGAUAUUAUGCAGAACCAAUCUGAAGACAGUGGCUUGCCAAGCCAACCUGCUGCUCCCCGUGAAUCUUGGAAGACCCCAUUCAGGAGAACUUUGGAUUGUUUUACAAAAUGCUUUGGCUUCUCUUGAAAGGUAACAGAACAUAACAUUCUCAAGGAAAGAAGAAAAGUUUUGAAGCAUAACUGACCUUAACUUGACAAACUUGGAGGAAGACUCCAGAGAAUUCAUUUGAGUAAUUUUCAAAAUAUUCUAGAGUGAAAAUGUAUUAUUACUUGCUACAUAAAAUUAUUAAAAGGCAUUUAACAACACUUAAUUAGAAGUCUAAGUGAACAUCACAACUUAAAAAAACUUUUAUCAAAGCCUAUGUCUCUCAACUCCACAAGAUAAAAAAGCCAAAACCAUAUGCCACCACAAUCGCAGAUAUAUAUAUAUAUAUAUAUAUAUAUAUAUAUAUAUAUAUAUAUAUGCCUGUUUUUAUGCCAAUGCCAUACUGUUUUGACUACCGUAGUAGUUAUACAGUUUAUUUAGUAGUGAU
rnacentral:lncRNA from 1 species